UACGAAGGGGGGCUAGCGUUGUUCGGAAUUACUGGGCGUAAAGCGCGCGUAGGCGGAUCGCUAAGUCAGGGGUGAAAUCCCAGGGCUCAACCCUGGAACUGCCUUUGAUACUGACGAUCUGGAGAUCGGGAGAGGUUGGUGGAAUUCCGAGUGUAGAGGUGAAAUUCGUAGAUAUUCGGAGGAACACCAGAAGCGAAGGCGGCCAACUGGCCCGAUACUGACGCUGAGGCGCGAAAGCGUGGGGAGCAAACAGG
rnacentral:rRNA from 1 species